UAUAAUUCCAAGCAAGGCAAACACUCUCUGAAGAACCUGGAUGAACUGGAAUGUGACCUGCAGUUGGAAAAAAACAAGAAUAAUGGUAUUUCGAAGGUAUCUAGGUACUGAAUCCCAGCUGAGUUAUGCUCACAAGACCACUGCCUUGGGUCAUCAAAUCUAAAACUGUGCACUGAAGCUAUGUCUACACUACAAAUUACUUUAGUAUAAUUUACAUCGCUGAGGGUUGUGAAUAAUCCAAACCUCUGAAUGAGCUGCAGCACAAACUCAAGUUGACCGUCUUCCUUAUUCCACUCAUCAACUGCGCUCUGGAGAAGGUGAAGGCUGUGUCUGUAG